GUCAUUAGAUCUACCUGCGAGGUUGGGCUUUCUUGGGGAAACGAAGAAACUAGAGAUCAGAGAAUCGCUCGCAGUUGCAGUUUCUAUUUCAAUUCAAAAGAAAUAGUCGAGUUCACCGAUCAGUUUCUGUCAAAAUUAGAGGAAAUAAUUCAUCGUCCUUCUCCUCAACUUUCCUAGCUUUACCUGUGCUACUGCAACGUUGUCUAUCCUGUUUCCUAUGGAUUCCUUCAGUUUUUGAUUGCUUUAAGCAAGCCUUGGUGACCAUUCCUUCAUCCCUCAUGACUUCAACUGUUUCAACUUCUCGAGGAUUUAUUCCACCAACAAGGCAUAGCUCCUUUGAAUCCUCAAGUAUCAUUGGUCCUGGAUCUUUAGGUCAGCCUGAGCUAGAUAGUGAUGAAGCAGAGUUGCUCUCUGUAUCCUGGAACCAGGAUUAUGGUUGCUUUGCUACUGGCACAAACCGGGGGUUUCGUAUAUAUAACUGUGAGCCCUUUAAGGAAACUUUCAGACGUGAUCUGAAAAAUGGGGGAUUCAAAAUUGUUGAGAUGCUGUUCAGGUGCAAUAUUUUGGCACUUGUUGGCAGUGAUUCUAAUUCCCAGUAUCCUCCAAACAAAGUUUUAAUCUGGGAUGAUCAUCAGAGCCGGUGCAUUGGUGAAUUUUCAUUUAGGUCUGAGGUUCGUGCAGUGAAAUUAAGACGGGAUCGAAUUGUUGUUGUUCUUGAGCACAAAAUUUAUGUUUAUAGUUUCAUGGAUCUAAAACUUCUUCAUCAGAUUGAGACUCUGACAAAUCCCAGGGGACUGUGCUGCCUUUCUCACCAUUCAAAUACAUCUGUUUUAGCUUGCCCAGGUCUUCAACGAGGCCAGGUUCGAGUUGAACACUUUGGGCUGAAUGUCAUGAAGUUGAUUAAUGCUCAUGAUUCUCAUCUUGCAUGCAUCACCUUGACAAUGGAUGGCCUGCUUCUUGCAACUGCUAGUACAAGGGGCACCUUGAUAAGAAUCUUCAAUACAAUGGAUGGGACUCGCUUGCAAGAGGUGCGAAGAGGAGUCGACAGAGCAGAAAUUUAUGGCAUUGCACUCUCUCGGAAUGUUCAGUGGUUGGCUGUGUCAAGUGACAAAGGUACUGUUCAUAUUUUCAGUCUUAGAGUUCGUGUGGCUGGGGAGGACUCUUCCUGUCACUCAAGUCCUAUUCAGGGUCCAGCAUUGUUAAACCAGAAUUCAUCAACUUCCCUUGAUGCCCUUAUCUCUCCAAGCACUAGUGCUAACCCUGGUUCAUCCUUGUCUUUUAUGAGAGGGGUAUUACCAAAGUAUUUUAGCUCUGAGUGGUCAUUUGCUCAGUUCCACUUACCAGAAGACACCCAAUUCAUUGCAGCAUUUGGAUCCCAGAAUACUGUUAUUAUUGUUGGCAUGGAUGGAAGUUUCUACAGGUGCAGCUUUGAUCUGGUUC
rnacentral:misc_RNA from 1 species